CUAGGCAGAUUUUGGCAAAUUACCUGAAUACACUUAAAGGUUCAGCUUCAGUUGGACCAAACACUUAAUGUCCUUUGUUAUUAAAGAAAUGGCCUUAGAGGACAAUGAACCUUAGACCAAGGAUUCAGAAUUUUCCCAAACCUUACAGUCUGUUAUGGUUUGAAUGUUUGUCUCCUCCAAAGCUCAUGUUGAAAUUUAAUGGUCUGGCCAGUGCCACAGCUCACUUGGCUAAUCCUCUGCCUGUGGCACCAACACCCCAAGUUCUAGCUCUCGUUGGGGUGCUGGAUUCUGUUCCAGUUGCUCCUCUUCCAGUCCAGCUCUCUACUGUGGCCUGGGAGUGCAGUGGAGGAUGGCCCAGGUCCUUGGGCCCUUGCACUCAUGUGGGAGACCAGGAAGAGGCUCCUGGCUCCUGGCUCCUGGCUUCGGAUUGGCACAGCUCCAGCCAUUGUGGCCAUCUAGGGAGUGAACCACCACAUGGAAGACCUCACUCUCUGUCUGUACCUCUCUCUAACUCUGCCUGUCAAAUAAAUAAAAUCUUAAAAAAAGUAAUAAAAAGGAAAGAAAAAGAAAAUGAGUUAGCUGAACUGGGGAACUGAUAUCUUCCCACAUCUCCCAAUUUGUACAUCACACCUCAGUUCUAGGUGCCAACAUUCUCAUUAGAAUGUAUCCAUGGCCUUUGGUCACUCUGCCUAGGGAUAGGCCAAAGAACAUGUUACCCCUAGAAGGACUGUCAUAUAGAUCCAUUUCUUCUCUGUCCUAUUUCCCUUGAUUACUCUUGAAUCUAUCCCAUGGCACCAUUUCCCUGAUGGGCGGGGCUACUCACUGCCCAGAGGGGCAGGGCAUGUUGAUGUCAUAAGGGACCCUGUGACACAGGCUGGCCUAUAAAAGCAGCUGUAGUCCUGGACACCUACCAGUCGCUGAUUCUGACUUCUGGACGCAGGACAGAAUGACAGAUAAGACUAAAAAAAGUUUUGCCUCCCAAGACCAUAUUCCCCCUUAUUCCGUAUCUUCCCUCUGGCCUGACCCUGCUGAUCCUGAACCCUGGCUUCACCUGUCUAUUCCUCCGCCCCAGACUGACCCCCCUAAAUCUAUAUUUGAAUCUUACCACCCUGCAUUUCUGAACUGGCCUUAUCCUCCUCUGCACCCUCUACUCCAUCCCAACUAUCCAUCCUUCCCUCGUGUCCCUUCGCACCAGACCAAAGCCCCAGGUCCUGCAUCUGGAUCUCACCCUCCUCCUAGUGCCCUGCCCACAUCUGACUCUGCUUCUCCUCUCCCGGACCCUCCUCCCGGACCAGUGUUUGAGCCUUUCCCUCCUCCUGCUCCUCCUUACUUGCCCCACCCUCCUUCUGAUCCUGCACCCCAACCUGGCCCUGCUCCUGCCCCUCCAGCUUCCCGUCGUGGGCUUCCACAAAACCCUCUUCCUGCUCCUAGUUCCUCCCUCAAGUCUCAUCCCCCUUGUCAUAGGAAACACCAGCCAUGCCCUUCUGUCACUAAACCUAAACCCCGCCCACCCCCUGCUCCCAAGCACAAGCCUCGCCCUCCUACAUGUAAACCCAAGUCCAAACCUCCCCCAGAUGUUCCUCUCUGCCUUCCUUUCCCCUGCGGCCGUGAUCUACGCAAACGCUUCCUAGCCCUUCUUUCUCAACACCCUCACCCUUCUCCUACCCUUUUACACCUACACCACCUUCCUGUCACUGCCCUUCAUAAACCUCGUCUCUCGUCCAGCCUAUCUCCACAGCGCCACCUUCCUUCAGUCCGUUCAACUUGGCGCGAACCUUUCAUUGCCCCUAUACACCGCCCUCACCCUCCUCCUGGUCCCCCAGCCCGCUCUCCACGUUCUGCUGCUUCUCGGCGCCAUCUUCGGCUUUCCUCUAGUCUCUCUCCGCAACGCCACCCUCCUUCUGUCCCCUCCCGUCGGCGCCACCCUCCUACUACAUCUGUGCAGCACCCUCACCCUCCUGGUCCCCCAGCCCGCUCUCGGCGUCCUGCUGCUUCUCCGCUCUGUGCUCGCCUGCCUUCUGAUCCUGCACCCAAGCCUCGCACUCCUCCUGCUGCUCUCUCCCAGCCUCAGCCUCACCCUCCUUCUGACCCUCCUCCCAAGUCUUACCCUCAUUUUCGUUCUCCUUAUCAGUCAUUUCCUCUUUUUCUUCCACUCCAGCCUCUUGUUGCUGCGCCCCAGCCUGUCCGUCUUUCUGCUCCGUCCUUCCAGCCUCACCCUCCUCCGUAUCCUCCAUCUCAGCCCCGUGCUGCUCCUCCUCCUCACCCUCCUGACCAUGCUCACCUGCGCUCUGUACCUCGACGCUUGCCUCGCCCCCCUGCUCGUCCAUCCCAGCCUGACCGCUCCUCAGGCUCUUCCUUCCCGCCCCACCCUCGCUAAGGUCCUUCUCCCUAGCCUCACCCUCCUCUUCCUCCACCUCCUCCCUCUCAUUCCUCCAUAGCCACCUCAACCUUCUACGACUAUGUCCUGUCUGCCCAUUUGUCUCCCACACCAGCCUGAUCUUCCACACUGUUCUUACCUUCCGUAUGACCUCUCGCUUCAGUCUUGCCCUGCCUCAGGCCCGUCAAAUUAUAAUCCUCUAAUCUACCCUCCUCCAGGUCUCCUCACUUUGUCAUCUUUUUCCAUCCCUGACAAAUGAUACCCCUUCCCAGCACCUGACCUUAUUCACUCCACACCCAGCUCCUCAAGAUUCUGUUCCUAAUCGUACCUAACCUGCUCAUGGCCCUGUGUUAUCCUACCUGUUCCUACUCAGCCUCUAUGUUAUCCCCAACUCCUCCUUCUUACUAGUCCUCUAGACCCUAACACACCCCCACCCACUUGUGAUCCUGUCACCCCAUCCGUACCUACUGGUUCACACUGCCACAGUUCUGGUGAAGCUCCCCGUUAUGACAACCGGACUUCCAGAAACAUGAUGAGCUGAGCAGCAACCAAUGGCCAAGCCCUGCAGGCGUAGAGACAGGUAACAUGUAGUCACACAUAUUUUGUGUAUGAGAUCAGCAGAGGGUUCAUACUCUGGGCAUCUGUUGUAAAGUGUGAGAUGUUUGACUUCCUCCAAAAUCUUUUUCAGCAGAUUGGCCUACCUGAAGUCUAGUCAGCGGGUGACCACUUCUUUCUUCUGCCACAUAACCCCAAGCUCUAUUCUGGUGGUAUCCAGAAGUGGCCCAGUAGCCAAGUCAUAUCUGAGCAGCUGGGUCAGGAGAGGAUUCUAGCUUCCUCUAGCAUCUUCUUUUAAGAAGUGAUUGGCCCAGAUGAAGUCUGGUCAUGAAGUCCCUCUAUUUCCUGGGUCUGCCACAUGACAAAAGGGAUUUGAAUUCAAGAGAGAUCCAGAUCUGCUUGCCAGUUGAUCAACUGAGUGUUCAUGUCGAUGAAGGUGGAUGGGCUUGUCUGGCCUGCAAAGAGAAAUGGAUUAUUUGGAAGAUUUCUCUGUCACCUAUUACUAAG